GACGAACGCUGGCGGCGUGUUUAACACAUGCAAGUCGAACGGAAAGGCCCUGCUUUUGUGGGGUGCUCGAGUGGCGAACGGGUGAGUAACACGUGAGUAACCUGCCCUUGACUUUGGGAUGACUUCAGGAAACUGGGGCUAAUACCGGAUAGGAGCUCCUGCUGCAUGGUGGGGGUUGGAAAGUUUCGGCGGUUGGGGAUGGACUCGCGGCUUAUCAGCUUGUUGGUGGGGUAGUGGCUUACCAAGGCUUCGACGGGUAGCCGGCCUGAGAGGGUGACCGGCCACAUUGGGACUGAGAUACGGCCCAGACUCCUACGGGAGGCAGCAGUGGGGAAUAUUGCACAAUGGGCGGAAGCCUGAUGCAGCAACGCCGCGUGCGGGAUGACGGCCUUCGGGUUGUAAACCGCUUUCGCCUGUGACGAAGCGUGAGUGACGGUAAUGGGUAAAGAAGCACCGGCUAACUACGUGCCAGCAGCCGCGGUGAUACGUAGGGUGCGAGCGUUGUCCGGAUUUAUUGGGCGUAAAGGGCUCGUAGGUGGUUGAUCGCGUCGGAAGUGUAAUCUUGGGGCUUAACCCUGAGCGUGCUUUCGAUACGGGUUGACUUGAGGAAGGUAGGGGAGAAUGGAAUUCCUGGUGGAGCGGUGGAAUGCGCAGAUAUCAGGAGGAACACCAGUGGCGAAGGCGGUUCUCUGGGCCUUUCCUGACGCUGAGGAGCGAAAGCGUGGGGAGCGAACAGGCUUAGAUACCCUGGUAGUCCACGCUGUAAACGGUGGGUACUAGGUGUGGGGUCCAUUCCACGGGUUCCGUGCCGUAGCUAACGCUUUAAGUACCCCGCCUGGGGAGUACGGCCGCAAGGCUAAAACUCAAAGGAAUUGACGGGGCCCCGCACAAGCGGCGGAGCAUGCGGAUUAAUUCGAUGCAACGCGUAGAACCUUACCUGGGUUUGACAUGGAUCGGGAGUGCUCAGAGAUGGGUGUGCCUCUUUUGGGGUCGGUUCACAGGUGGUGCAUGGCUGUCGUCAGCUCGUGUCGUGAGAUGUUGGGUUAAGUCCCGCAACGAGCGCAACCCUUGUUCACUGUUGCCAGCACGUUAUGGUGGGGACUCAGUGGAGACCGCCGGGGUCAACUCGGAGGAAGGUGGGGAUGACGUCAAGUCAUCAUGCCCCUUAUGUCCAGGGCUUCACGCAUGCUACAAUGGCUGGUACAGAGAGUGGCGAGCCUGUGAGGGUGAGCGAAUCUCGGAAAGCCGGUCUCAGUUCGGAUUGGGGUCUGCAACUCGACCUCAUGAAGUCGGAGUCGCUAGUAAUCGCAGAUCAGCAACGCUGCGGUGAAUACGUUCCCGGGGCU
rnacentral:rRNA from 1 species